rnacentral:rRNA from 1 species
UGCGCAGGCGGAACUUUAAGUCAGUGGUGAAAUCUUGCCGCUUAACGGUAAAAUUGCCAUUGAUACUGAAGUUCUUGAAUAUGGUUGAGCUAGGCGGAAUGUGUUGUGUAGCGGUGAAAUGCAUAGAUAUGACACAGAACGCCGAUUGCGAAGGCAGCUUACUAAGCCAUUAUUGACGCUGAGGCACGAAAGCGUGGGGAGCGAACAGGAUUAGAUACCCUGGUAGUCC